rnacentral:rRNA from 1 species
GAUGAACGCUGGCGGCGUGCCUAAUACAUGCAAGUCGAGCGAAUGGAUUAAGAGCUUGCUCUUAUGAAGUUAGCGGCGGACGGGUGAGUAACACGUGGGUAACCUGCCCAUAAGACUGGGAUAACUCCGGGAAACCGGGGCUAAUACCGGAUAACAUUUUGAACCGCAUGGUUCGAAAUUGAAAGGCGGCUUCGGCUGUCACUUAUGGAUGGACCCGCGUCGCAUUAGCUAGUUGGUGAGGUAACGGCUCACCAAGGCAACGAUGCGUAGCCGACCUGAGAGGGGGAGCGGCCACACUGGGACGGGGACACGGCCCAGACUCCGACGGGAGGAAGCAGUAGGGAAUCUUCCGCAAUGGACGAAAGUCUGACGGAGCAACGCCGCGUGAGUGAUGAAGGCUUUCGGGUCGUAAAACUCUGUUGUUAGGGAAGAACAAGUGCUAGUUGAAUAAGCUGGCACCUUGACGGUACCUAACCAGAAAGCCACGGCUAACUACGUGCCAGCCGCCGCGGUAA